rnacentral:rRNA from 1 species
CCUACGGGAGGCAGCAGUGGGGAAUAUUGGGCAAUGGGCGCAAGCCUGACCCAGCAACGCCGCGUGAAGGAAGAAGGCUUUCGGGUUGUAAACUUCUUUUCUCAGGGACGAAGCAAGUGACGGUACCUGAGGAAUAAGCCACGGCUAACUACGUGCCAGCAGCCGCGGUAAUACGUAGGUGGCAAGCGUUAUCCGGAUUUACUGGGGGUAAAGGGCGUGUAGGCGGGAAAGCAAGUUAGAUGUGAAAACCAUGGGCUCAACCUGUGGCCUGCAUUUGAAACUGUUUUUCUUGAGUACUGGAGAGGCAGACGGAAGUCCUAGGGGAGCGGGGAAAUGCGGAGAUAUUAGGAGGAACACCAGUGGCGAAGGCGGUCUGCUGGACAGCAACUGACGCUGAGGCGCGAAAGCGUGGGGAGCAAACAGGAUUAGAUACCCGGGUAGUC